AUACGUAGGUGACAAGCGUUAUCCGGAUUUACUGGGCGUAAAGGGCGUGUAGGCGGUCUUGCAAGUCAGAAGUGAAAUUCCUGAGCUCAACUCGGGCGCUGCUUCUGAAACUGCAGGACUUGAGUGCUGGAGGGGAUAGCGGAAUUCCUAGUGGAGCGGUAAAAUGCGCAGAUAUUAGGAAGAACACCGGUGGCGAAGGCGGCUAUCUGGAGAGUAACUGACGCUGAGGGGCGAAAGCGUGGGGAGCAAACAGGAUUAGAUACCCUGGUAGUCCACGCCGUAAACGAUGAAGACUAGGUGUAGGGGGUAUCGACUCCCUCUGUGCCGCAGUUAACACAAUAAGUAUUCCGCCUGGGGAGUACGGCCGCAAGGUUGAAACUCAAAUGAAUUGACGGGG
rnacentral:rRNA from 1 species